rnacentral:rRNA from 1 species
UACGGAGGGUGCAAGCGUUAUCCGGAUUCACUGGGUUUAAAGGGUGCGUAGGAGGGUGAGUAAGUCAGUGGUGAAAUCUUCGAGCUUAACUCGGAAACUGCCGUUGAUACUACUUGUCUUGAAUACCGUGGAGGUGAGCGGAAUAUGUCAUGUAGCGGUGAAAUGCUUAGAUAUGACAUAGAACACCAAUUGCGAAGGCAGCUCACUACACGGUCAUUGACUCUGAGGCACGAAAGCGUGGGGAUCAAACAGG